GACGAACCGAGCGAACGUUGUUCGGAAUUACUGGGCGUAAAGGGCUCGUAGGCGGCCAACUAAGUCAGACGUGAAAUCCCUCGGCUUAACCGGGGAACUGCGUCUGAUACUGGAUGGCUAGAGGUUGGGAGAGGGAUGCGGAAUUCCAGGUGUAGCGGUGAAAUGCGUAGAUAUCUGGAGGAACACCGGUGGCGAAGGCGGCAUCCUGGACCAAUUCUGACGCUGAGGAGCGAAAGCCAGGGGAGCAAACGGG
rnacentral:rRNA from 1 species